rnacentral:rRNA from 1 species
AGACGACGAGGUAGAUAGGGCAGAGGUGGAAGUGCAGUAAUGCAUGGAGCUGACUGUUACUAAUCGGGUGAGGGCUUGACCAAG